GAGAAUGAUCCAGCUGCAGAAGAUGUCAGUUAUGGACAAAUUAUGGUCAAGGAGAAACACAGUGAAUUAAAGAUAAGAGAGAGCGAUUCAACUACAAUCUACUCAGAAGUGAGAACAGCCGACGUCUGCUAUGGACCAAAAACCACCAGACCAAGUAGUCCCAAAGAGUUUAAACCAGAGACAGACACCAUCUACUCCUUACUGAAGUAGUCCACCAGUCCAACCACUCAUGUCCAGCUGCUGGUCUCUAACUGGUCCCCCAGCACCACAGGCCAGAGGACAUCCACACAGAAUCACUGAGCUCUGGUGGUGUUCAAUAUAAUGAUGCAUAUGGAGCAGCAGUGCAGUAGCUUCUCUAAGUAACUACGUGUCAUUCUUCUGUUUUCUCAUAACGAAUGACGAUAAGGAAUCAUGUUUCAUCGUUUUUGGCUAAAUUAUGUGGCUUAAAUAUCACAUCCUAUUUAUAACUGGUGCUUUAAAUGUGUUUGUUACAAAAUCAGCAAUGAUAAAUAAUAUAAAUAUG